rnacentral:rRNA from 1 species
AUGGUUUUGGUAUCCGCCCCCGUCAGCCCUCGUCCUGUCUAUGAUUCGGAUGUGGGGGUUGUUGAACCGGAAAUUCCAACCGACCCUAUUGUUGAGAGGUUAAAUUUAGUUGAAGAAGAAAACAAUUUGUUGAAGGAAAAAAUUAGAAAAAUUGAGGAGGAGAAGAUGAUAUUGGAGUUGCAUGUUGUGGAUGUCGUCGAUGAUCACAAGAUCAAGAUGGAUGCAAUGCGCUUGAAGAUUAGAAAGAUUAGAAAAUAUGCCAUUCAUACCGAGGCUUGGUAUCAUUAUGCUGUUGGAUCAGUUGUUACAUUGAUUGCGAUUAUGAUCGCAUUUGUUUUCGCAUUGAAAUGUUUUACAUAG